AAGUGUACAUUGAAGAAAGCUAGUAGUUUACUGAAACAAAACAGAGAAACGAUUAACAGCUGAGAAAUCGUUAUUGUGAAGGUGAAUGAAUUCUUUUCUGAGUUAGUUUCUGAACAACAGUUGUUAAUUAAGAAAUUACGUUAGUCGCGUUAUGACUUUAAGUGUUGCUUAGCAUUAUGAUAAGCAAAAUUAGGGUGGUACCGCGAUGCCUCGUCCCUUUG
rnacentral:ncRNA from 1 species